UACGGAGGGUGCAAGCGUUAUCCGGAUUCACUGGGUUUAAAGGGUGCGUAGGUGGGUUGGUAAGUCAGUGGUGAAAUCCUCGAGCUUAACUUGGGAACUGCCAUUGAUACUAUCAGUCUUGAAUACUGUGGAGGUUAGCGGAAUAUGUCAUGUAGCGGUGAAAUGCUUAGAUAUGACAUAGAACACCAAUUGCGAAGGCAGCUGGCUACACAAAUAUUGACACUGAGGCACGAAAGCGUGGGGAUCAAACAGG
rnacentral:rRNA from 1 species